rnacentral:pre_miRNA from 1 species
UGUUAAAAUUUUUAUCCAUUUUUACAGUUAAGAACUGAAAUGGCUACUAGAAUAACCAGAUUCAGGCAUAUAGGACUAAUUUUUAAUAGUAAAAAUGGAUGAAAUUUAUAACC